AUGGCACCACCAGGAGUGGAGCCUGCGGCUUAAUUUGACUCAACACGGGGAAACUUACCCGGCCUGGACACUGGAAGGAUUGACAGAUUGAGAGCUCUUUCUUGAUUCAGUGGGUGGUGGUGCAUGGCCGUUCUUAGUUGGUGGAGCGAUUUGUCUGGUUAAUUCCGAUAACGAACGAGACUCUAGCCUAUUAAAUAGGCUCUCGGCUUUUAAACGCCGGGAGGACUUCUUAGAGGGACAGGUGGCGGUUCAGCCGCACGAAAGAGAGCAAUAACAGGUCUGUGAUGCCCUUUGUUGUCCGGGGCCGCACGCGCGCUACACUGAAGAGAUCAGCGUGCUUUACGUUCCUGCUCCGACCGGAGUGGGGAACCCAGUGAACCUUCUUCGUGAUUGGGAUAGAAGAUUGUAAUUAUUCUUCUUGAACGAGGAAUUCCCAGUAAAUGCGAGUCAUAAGCUCGCGUUGAUUACGUCCCUGCCCUUUGUACACACCGCCCGUCGCUACUACCGAUUGAACGAUUU
rnacentral:rRNA from 1 species